CUGGUGAUGACCUCACUGCUGUUCCCUACCCACGCUGUGAUACACCUAUCAAGUUCAUGUGCAUGUUCAGUACACAGACUGUACACAGACUCAAAGCCAUGCAAACAUCCAGUUUCAGAUGUUUAGGUCAUACCUGAUUGAUUACCAUGUGAUGCAGCAGAAAGAAAGUGGGGGACGACAUGCAGCAAAGGGCCACAGGCUGGAACAGGGGCCACUGCAGUCUGUGUCUUUGUACAUGGGCUGUUCUACCAGAGAUGCUGUCUAAGGAUGCUUACCCUCCAUUGAGACAGCGGCGUAGAGAGUAUGAAGCUCCUCCCCCACAGGUUCGAGAGCAGUCACUCCAGGCGCCCCAGGCGUCCCAUCCG